rnacentral:rRNA from 1 species
UACGUAGGCAGCGAGCGUUGUUCGGAAUUACUGGGCGUAAAGAGCGUGUAGGCGGCCAUACAGGUCAGCUGUGAAAACUCGAGGCUCAACCUCGAGACGUCGGUUGAAACCGUAUGGCUAGAGUCCGGAAGAGGAGAGUGGAAUUCCCGGUGUAGCGGUGAAAUGCGCAGAUAUCGGGAAGAACACCCGUGGCGAAGGCGGCUCUCUGGGACGGUACUGACGCUGAGACGCGAAAGCGUGGGGAGCGAACAGG